GAUGAAGAACGCAGUGAAAUGCGAUAAGUAAUGUGAAUUGCAGAAUUCAGUGAAUCAUCGAAUCUUUGAACGCACAUUGCGCCCCCUGGAAUUCCGGGGGGCAUGCCUGUUCGAGCGUCUCAGGGACGAACCCUCGCGCGGGUGUACGCGCGGUCGUGGCUGCGGUGGCGUGCCCGAGGCGGCGGCCACCGCGCUGGAAUCCAUGGGCGGACGCCUGCCGCGUGGCCGAGCGUGAUAUGACGCAUUGGCGCUCGCACGCGGAGAGGCUGCCAGCCCUGGCCCGUCUGUCGGGCGGGGGAGAGCAAGACACGUGAACUCCUCGAAUCAGGUAGGGAAACCCGCUGAACUUAAGCAUAUCAAUAAGCGGAGGA
rnacentral:misc_RNA from 1 species